rnacentral:rRNA from 1 species
UACGGAGGAUCCAAGCGUUAUCCGGAUUUAUUGGGUUUAAAGGGUGCGUAGGCGGGCUCGUAAGUCAGUGGUGAAAUCCUGCAGCUUAACUGUAGAACUGCCAUUGAUACUGCGAGUCUUGAAUGCAGCUGAGGUGGGCGGAAUGUGUCAUGUAGCGGUGAAAUGCAUAGAUAUGACACAGAACACCAAUUGCGAAGGCAGCUCACUAAACUGUGAUUGACGCUGAGGCACGAAAGCGUGGGGAGCAAACAGG